UUCCCAACCCGAAUGGUUCAGUUCAGUUCGGUUAAAACAGAACCGAACCGAUAAACCGAAAUGUUUUUAUAGUUAUUUAAAUUAAAAAUAUUAGUGAUAUCAAGAUAUUAAAAUCCUAAGACUUAGUCCAAUUAAUUUCUUUUUGCACGAAAGAAAUCCUAAUAUAAUUUGAUUUCCAUGACACUUCGUCUAACUUUUGUAAUAUUUGUCAUUAAGCCCACAUAAUUUCUAUGUUAAUUGUUAUAAAGUUAUAAACUAUAUUUGUAACUUUUAAAAAGAUUUUUAUUUGGUUUUAUAUUGAAUUUAAUUUACAUACUUAAUUUUAUAUUAUGACCAACGCGAUUAUUUCAUGACAACCAUACAUUUAUGUAUUAAAACAUGAUUUCUUGUACAAUAAAUAAACUAAGAGAAAUCUGAUUAAACCGAAUCGAACCGAAAUACAAACUGAAUCGAAUACAAACAGAACCGAAUAUAAACCGAACCGAACAUAACUGAACCGAAAUCGAUCCAAACCAAACUAACUAUGGUUUACUUCAGCUGGAAAAAUUCUAGAACCGAACUAACCAAACCGAACCGAACUCGAACCGAACCGAUAAAAUAACCGAAGUGCCCACCCCUACAUUUAACACAAAGUUAACAGCGAGACUUAACAAUCUCUAGACAACAUUUCCUGGUGCCAAAUUUGUCUACGUAUACAUGUAUAAUCUAGUCUUGAUCUCAUCAAAAAUCCUCAGGCUUCAGAGCCUAGAGUGACAAAGAUUCAGUGGGUUCAUCUAUCGGGAGAUGUCUCGGACUCGUUACUAAGAAAAAAUUUCAACUCAAGUUUACUAUCUUGUAUAACGGUCUCUACGGAUCAGAAAAUGCAAUCAAAAUUUCUUAGGAUUUCUCGUAGGUGACGGUUGAAUCUCAACGUCACAACCUAAAGUGACUAUUUUUUAGCUAUCUAAUUUUGUUGUGAAGGCCAUAUCGAUGGAUUCAAGUUUCGCCUCGAGCUCGCUGUCAUUUUUUCAAGAAGACCUAUUUGUUUUAUUUCUCUUUGUUUUUGUAAUUUAUGCUUACCAAAGAUUAUGAAUAAUUCAAUCUUUUUAUUAUAUCCCAACAAUAUGAGUUUAAUGAAGUAAUUGAUGAGUUUAAUUUGGAAUUUUUACUGUUUAUAAUUGAUGUGGCUGAUGGAUAUUAAAUGCUGACGACGUAUCCUGUUCUUUUGCCCGGAUGCAUCUUGUUAUAUGUGUUCUGGGACGUUGUCCACCCUAGCGAGAAUUCAUGUCAAACGAUUGCACCAAAGAUAAUUGAAUAACUCUAGCGAGAAACACAUCAUGGUGGUCUAGUGGUUUCUACUAGAGGAAGAGUUGCCCUAUUGGUCCAGGUCAGGGACUCCUUUCUAGUACGGAAUUAUUAGUUCUAUAUGUGACCACGUGGAUAUGAAUAAGCCCAUGUUUACGGUCUAUUUGAAUACCUGGGAGAGAAUUCAUCUGUGGGUUACACCUCCCACUCAGGAAUUAGAUAUGUAUUUUUAAUAGACUCGGAUUUAAUAUUUUCUCGGUAAAAAAACUCAAGGAGAAACUCGCAUGAUAUAUUUCUACAUUUAUCUUUACUUUUAACUUAGUUAUAAACAUAUACUGUAUUAUUCAUAUUCGGUUUCCAUAUUCAUAGAAAGAUAAAAGUUGUCACAAAAUACAAAACCAGUGUUCGUUUCUCUUAAUAGACAUCUGGGGAUCUUUUCUGUCGAGUUAUUAACCAAUGUCUCUUAACAGAAUUUUGGGACGACAAAGCUUGUAUUUUCAACAUGGUUUCAGACGAAAUAUACAAUAUGAGCUUUAUUACUUGACUUC